rnacentral:rRNA from 1 species
AACGAACGCUGGCGGCGUGCCUAACACAUGCAAGUCGAACGUGAUUGAGGAGCUUGCUCCUCAUGAAAGUGGCGCACGGGUGAGUAACGCGUAGAUAAUCUGCCUGAUGAUUCGGGAUAACACUUCGAAAGGGGUGCUAAUACCGGAUAAGCCCACGGAGACUCUGGUCUUUGCGGGAAAAGGAGGGGACCUUCGGGCCUUCCGUCAUCAGAUGAGUCUGCGUACCAUUAGCUAGUUGGUAGGGUAAAGGCCUACCAAGGCGACGAUGGUUAGCUGGUCUGAGAGGAUGAUCAGCUACACUGGAACUGAGACACGGUCCAGACUCCUACGGGAGGCAGCAGUGGGGAAUUUUGCGCAAUGGGGGAAACCCUGACGCAGCAACGCCGCGUGAGUGAUGAAGGCCCUUGGGUCGUAAAGCUCUGACAGAGGGAAAGAAAUGUGGGUGGCUAAUAUCCAUACCACUUGACGGUACCCUCAAAGGAAGCACCGGCUAACUCCGUGCCAGCAGCCGCAGUAAUAC